rnacentral:lncRNA from 7 species
GCACCCAAACCACCUCAUCCCAUGCGGGGCUCCUGGGGCACAGAGCAGUUUUGGCACUGUCUCAGAUGAAGUACAAAGGCGGUCAGUAUCAGCCGGGAGCACGGGAAGCACAGCGCCGGCUCCCGGCCCACCCGCAUCCUGGGGCUCGGUGCCUUUCCUUCCACACGCAUUUCACUGACACUGAUGCUUUGCCCAAAUAUAUUCUGCUUCCUUCGCUUGGGGGUUUUGGGGGGGGCAGGAUGACGUUCACCGCUUGGCCUACGGCUGUGAGCUUAGUGUGUAUUUAAGCUGUCUAUAGGUAUCAAUCAUUUCCACGCUCUGAAUGUGUUUUAUUGUUCUAUCGAUAUUAAACGGUGACUCGGAACAAAAAAAAUCUGACGUCCAGUUCAGUUCGCCUAUGGUUAAAGUUUAGCCCGGUGUUUGUUUUGUACUGAUGCGGAAUGCACUUGAGUAAUGCCCAGAGCGUGAGGAGGUGUAUUGGAACAGCCCCACAGAGCUCUGCCUUUGGUUUGUUUCUUAAGAAAAAAGAAAAGAGAGAGAUGAAAAACAUGCUUUGCAUUUUCACGUUGAACUCAUUGAAAAUUUAAAAAAAAAAAAAAAAAAGUUUAAAAAAAAGGAAUUUUUUUUAAAAAAAGAGGGUAAAACCUAAUUGCUGUAUGUUAAUUUGUAAUUAUGUAAAAAGUGAGCAGGUUAUUGACUGUAAAAUUCUUCAGUUUUUUUCUGUAACUUGCCAGAAACCAUUAGGUUUUGUAACAAGCUUUUAUUUAUCUUCCUUUUUAGUUAUCAGCAUCAACCUCUUGUAAAGUCAUUUUUCCUCUAAAUAAAUUCGAUUUUAAG